rnacentral:rRNA from 1 species
CAGCCGCCGCGGUAAUACGAAGGGUACAAGCGUUAAUCGGAAUUACUGGGCGUAAUGCGUGCGUAGGCGGUGAGUUAAGUCUGCUGUGAAAUCCCCGGGCUCAACCUGGGAAUGGCAGUGGAUACUGGCUCGCUAGAGUGUGUCAGAGGAUGGUGGAAUUCCCGGUGUAGCGGUGAAAUGCGUAGAGAUCGGGAGGAACAUCAGUGGCGAAGGCGGCCAUCUGGGACAACACUGACGCUGAGGCACGAAAGCGUGGGGAGCAAACAGGAUUAGAUACCCCCGUAGUCCCUGUCUCUUAUAC